UGGGGAAUAUUGGACAAUGGGGGCAACCCUGAUCCAGCCAUGCCGCGUGAGUGAAGAAGGCCUUGGGGUUGUAAAGCUCUUUCAGUCGUGACGAUGAUGACGGUAGCGACAGAAGAAGCCCCGGCUAACUCCGUGCCAGCAGCCGCGGUAAUACGGAGGGGGCAAGCGUUGUUCGGAUUUACUGGGCGUAAAGGGCGCGUAGGCGGGGUAUCAAGUUAGGGGUGAAAGCCCGGAGCUCAACUCCGGAACUGCCUCCAAAACUACAAAGCUAGAGGAUGCGAGAGGAUAGUGGAAUUCCGAGUGUAGAGGUGAAAUUCGUAGAUAUUCGGAAGAACACCAGUGGCGAAGGCGACUGUCUGGCGCAUAUCUGACGCUGAGGUGCGAAAGCGUGGGGAGCAAACAGGAUUAGAUACCCCCGUAGUCC
rnacentral:rRNA from 1 species